rnacentral:rRNA from 1 species
CUACGGGUGGCUGCAGUGGGGAAUAUUGCACAAUGGGCGCAAGCCUGAUGCAGCCAUGCCGCGUGUAUGAAGAAGGCCUUCGGGUUGUAAAGUACUUUCAGCGGGGAGGAAGGGAGUAAAGUUAAUACCUUUGCUCAUUGACGUUACCCGCAGAAGAAGCACCGGCUAAGUCCGUGCCAGCAGCCGCGGUAAUACGGAGGGUGCAAGCGUUAAUCGGAAUUACUGGGCGUAAAGCGCACGCAGGCGGUUUGUUAAGUCAGAGGUGAAAUCCCCGGGCUCAACCUGGGAACUGCAUCUGAACUGGCAAGCUUGAGUCUCGUAGAGGGGGGUAGAAUUCCAGGUGUAGCGGUGAAAUGCGUAGAGAUCUGGAGGAAUACCGGUGGCGAAGGCGGCCCCCUGGACGAAGACUGACGCUCAGGUGCGAAAGCGUGGGGAGCAAACAGGAUUAGAUACCCCCGUAGUC